GAAUUGUUUCAUCGUGCCCCUGUGUCUUCAUGUAUAUUUACCACACUUAACGAUGAGCCCUUCCCCAGGCAAUGUAGGACCCAGAGCUCUGUCCACAUCCUCCCGCUCUCCAGAACACAGUGCUUGAUGGGGAGAAAGGAUGGGGGUCUUUUUUUUUUUUUAAGAUUUUUCCUUUUUAAAAAAUAUUUUCUAAUGUUUUACUUUAUUUUUGAGGGAGAGCAUGAAUGGGGGAGGGGCAGAGAGAGAGGGAGACAGACUCUAAAGCAGGCUCCAGGCUCUGAGCUGUCAGCACAGAGCUAGACUCGGGCCUGAACCCACAAACCACCAGAUCAUGAGUUGAGCCGAAGUCAAGAGUCGGAUGCUUAACUGAGCCCCCCCCAGACUCCCCAGGAGGACUUUCGAAGCACCCCAAUGAUAGCAUCUUGAGAAUAAGUGUAUGGUGGUACCUGGGAAGCCCACGCUUAGCUGUGGCCACGCAUAGUGGUUUGCCUGUGAGAGUUCCAGGAGCUUUACAACACUUCACAAAAAAUUUAUGAAAUUAAGCAAUGAGAUUUCUUCUCCAUGUUUGUUUUUUGAGUUUAUUGGGAACCUUGCUCAGCUAUGCGUUUCAUUGUGGUGGUUGUAGCUGUGAUUUGGCAGCUGGAAAACUGCUGAGGUUGACUUAGAAGCCCCCGUGUACUCAGGAGUAAAGCACCUGAGAAACACCAGGAGGAGGAAAGAAUCCGGACUUGCCUGCACGGCUGGAACUACAGGGUUCUCCCCAAGACUCUGGGGGAAAUGCAAAUCACCCAAACCAUAGCUAAGCACCCACCAAAAUGGCCCCCUCCCCAAACCACUCUAGGUCCACUAUCCCUGAAGCCAACUCAGGCACGCUGACCCCUCCAGCAGUCUGUAACCACCCCCCGCCCCUCGCUCUACCCCUGCCCCCUGCCAGCUUCACACUGACUCCUGGGCCUUCUUGGCAGCAUUUCCAAGUUAGGUUUUCUGCCACCUGCGCUUGGGCUGAUUUCCUCCCAUCAUGUAUCCUUCCGUGUUUACAUUGAGGAUUCAAACCUGGGUGAGUCUCCACGUUGUGUCAAGGUGUGCCUCCAGCUCCCAGUUCUGACCAGCAGCAAAGCAUCAUCAAACCUGCGGGGAUGGGACCAGGAUGGGGGGGGACAGGGGACUCUCUCCAAGCCAGGUGGAAAUCACCUUGUCACCCUCAGCCCAUGGGGAUUGUGUGAUUGUGCGUGUGUAUCUGCAUACCAGGCUUUUGGGUGUCCCUGUGCCAUGGCUGUCUCACAAGUCUCCCCAGAGUAUUUGUGCAUUCGUGUCCUCAUAUCUGCGAGGGUGCGUUGGCACCGCCUCUGGGGCACAAGCCCCUGGUGCAAGCUCCACAAGCCGGCUGUGUGUCCCUUGUCUAUUGCACCUGUUUUCUGCCAGGGCACGGUAUAAUGCGUGUGUGUGGCUUGUUGAAGGGCACCAGCACGCCUCGCUGGUCAUACAGGGUCCCUGGGAUGUAUGUAGGGGCUUCCGGGUUCUGCUGAGGGGUGUCCUAAUCUCACACGUGUCACACUCCAUGUAUCUCCCGGAGUGUCACAUUGCACAACUGUCCACCUGGCGUAGACCUGAAAUACCCGUCUCACAAAUACCUACUUUACAAGAAAUACAGAGGAAGGUGUGUAGGAGUUAAAGCAAAUUAAGAAGAAACCCUGGGCGCCUGGGUGGCUCAGUAGGUUGAGUGUGGGACUUCCGCUCAGGUCAUGGUAUCAGAGUGCACGGGUUCGAGCCCCUCAUCAGGUUCUGUGCUGACAGCUCAGAGUCUGGAGCCUGCUUCUGAUGCUGUCUCCCCCUCUCUCUGUGCCUCCCCUGCUUGUGCACCUCUCCCUCCCUCUCUCAAAAGUAAAUAAAUAAAUAUUAAAAUUUAGAAAAAAAAAACCAAUUCUCCUUGGUACAAAAAAAGGGAAGAGACUUCCCUAGUCUUCCCUUAGAGCAUUGUAAGGGUUAAAUUGUAGUGUAGGGCUGACAGGUAGCUUGAAAAAUAACAGCUUUGUUCUGACACUGAAGGUCAAGAGAUAACAGCCUUGCUUUACUCUUGUAAAUUAUGCUUCAUACUCUUGUAAAUCAGGCUUCACCAACCAAGGAAACAAAAGCUCAAAGAAAAGAGCAUCAGAGGCAAGGUCAAGAAGAUCCACUGGUUGCAACUAAGCGGCAGAAAGUCUAAAAUAAUCACCUCAUCUGGCAACUGUUUCUAACUCGUCUGGGAACUGUUUCUCUGUUCUGUUCCCAGGUGAUGAUAAAACGAUGUGAUCGGCCAUAAAAACUCUGUACGCCGGCUGUUCGAGGCCGCACUCUUAUCAAGAGUGUCUGUCCCGAUCUGUCGGCCUUGCCUCUCAUUGCAAUAAACUUUGUUGUGACUGUCACUGGUGCCCGUGGCAUUCCGUUUCAGGAGUCGGGUGGAUGCAACAUUUGGUGCAUUGGCCGGGAGAGUUAAAGGUCUGAAACAGGGCCCUUUCCUCGGAUUGCUCCGCCAACCCCUGGGAGGAGGCUCGGGAUUGGGAGAGGUAACCCUAUUGCAAUAUGUUGAGGAUAUCUUGUUGGCGGCCCCCUCUCAUUUAGAAUGCCUGAGUGCCACCAGAGAACCCUUGAGUCUUCUGCAAAAACUGGGGUACCGAGUGUCAGCCAGAAAAGUGCAGAUCUGUCGUACUGCGGUGACCUAUUUAAGUUACAACCUUCAAAAGGGAAGUGCUAUCUCGGUGAACAAAGAAUUCGGGCUAUACUCGAUAUUCCUCAGCCUAAAACUCGCAAACAAGUUUGCGAGUUCUGGGGGCAGCAGGCUACUGCAGAGUAUGGAUAACUGGUUUUGCUGAACGGGCAGCCCCUUUGUACGCCACUCUCAAGGGGUCUCCAGAGUCCUUCACGUGGGGGGAGACUCAAACUAAAGCCUUCCAAGCCUUACGAGAGGCUCUCAUGACCCCACCGGCCUCGGCCCUGCCAGAUCCCACCAAGCCAUUCCAGUUGUUUGUAGCCGAAAAGGGGGGGUAGCCGAGGGAGUUCUGACUCGGCGUCUGGGACCUUGGCGCCGACCGGUGGCCUAUUUAUCCAAGCGGCUGGACCCAGUUGCUUCCGGGUGGCCCCCACGCGUUCGACAAAUUGCCACCACCACGCUCUUAGUUGAAGACGCAGACAAACUAACCUUGAGGCAGGCACUGUCUGUCACCGGGCCCCACGAAGUGGAGGCUUUACUGCGGGCUCCCCCAGAGCGACGGCUGUCAAAUGCUUGGAUUACCCAAUAUCAAGUGUUGCUACUCGACCAGACCCGAAUACGUUUUUGUGCCCCCGCAGCCUUAAACCCAGCCACUCUGCUGCCCGAAGGACAAGGUCCCCCUCUGCACUCCUGCCCAGAAACCUUGGCGACGAUCUCGUCCCUCCGCUCCGCUCUUACGGACGUUCCCUUACAGGACCCUGAUAUCAGCAUGUUUUCAGGCGGCAGUAGUUUUGUGUUUCAAGGGCAAAGGCACGCCGGGGCUGCAGUGACGACGGACCGCGAGGUUUUAUGGCAACAGACCCUUCCCCCGGGAACUUCAGCCCAGCACGCAGAGCUCAUCACUCUAACAAAAGCCCUCCAACUCGGAAGAAACAAGCAGUUCAUAUUUAUACAGACAGCCGCUAUGCUUUUGCAACCGCGCACGUAUACGGAUCCAUUUAUCAAGAGCGCGGUCUCCUCACGGCGGGAGGCAAGGCCAUCAAAACUAAAGCUGAAAUUUUAGAUCUUCUAGCAACCAUCUGGGAACCUGCGAGGCUGGCAAUCAUUCACUGCCCGGGACGUCAGAAAGGCGACUCCCUAGAAGCAGUCGGAAACCGCCUGGCUGAUGCAGCAGCCCGAGAAGCUGCCCCAACUAAAAGCAAAAGUGCCUUGGAGCUACCGAUCUUGACCGAGGGAGCCCAGUUACACUCCUAAAGAUUUGGAGUGGGUUUCAAGAAAAGGGGGAAGUAUGAUGCCGGGACAAAAGUGGUCUCAGGAUCCUGAAGACCUCCACCUAUCCUGCCGAGGCUAGGAGGCGACGUAAUGGAACAGUUGGAACAGGACCGCUUGCUGGCUUCACUCGUGGCCCUGCAACAUGUACAAAAGGAAAUAACCAGGGCCUUAAAAGAAGCCUUCGCUCAUCCUCCUGUUCUUCCCCACCCCUUUCAACCAGGAGAUUUAGUCUGGGUCAAGAGGCACGAGCUUAAAACCCCGGAGCCGCUCUGGAAAGGACCACACGCCGUGAUCCUGACUACACCCACGGCCGUGAAGGUAGAUGGUGUCCGAACCUGGAUUCAUGACUCUCAGGUUAAAAAAAAAAACUGUGUGAAGGCAGGAACACCCCAGACUGAUACGGAACCAGAUAAUGAACAGCAAUGGAAGGUCCGAAGGCACUCAGAGGAUCCUUUAAAGGUAAGACUGAUGUGGGCAUAAUAAUAAUAAUUGUCUGGGUUUGUAUAAUGAUAAGUGUGGGGGACUGUAUGGAAUUGCAUCCCCUAUCUUUUUGGCCAUACCACUGGGAACUCAGGGACACUGUCACGGGGAAGGUGAUAGCAUCUAAUACCUCUUCCACUGUGCCUUGUUUUUUGUUUGAUUUAUGCGACUUGGUGAGGGACUCAUGGGGGACUUUUAAUUACUAAUUAUAAACAGCCAACGGGCUUCGCUCCUCCGGUCCCCGAAAACCCCUAUAUGGUUACCUAUGGAUGUGGACACAGGGAUCAAGAACAAAAAUUGGCUAACAUACCAGGGUUCUACAGUUGCCCUGCAAAUAGGAAGGUCGAAUGUGAAGGAAAAGGCCAGCAAUAAUUGGUAUCAGAAUUUAUUCUCUUGGACCCCCUGGCUCACAUCACUGCUCACCACCAUAGCUGGGCCACUGCUAUUGUUACUUCUCGGGUUAACUAUCGGCCCAUGCAUUAUCAAUUGGUUAGUACAGUACGUCAAGCGGCGAGUUGGUGAAAUAAAAAUUAUGAUGAUUAGGUCCAACUACGUCCCCUUAGUUCCUAAUGAUGAAUCAAGGGAUUUAUUCACUGACAAGAAAAGGGAGAAAUGUAAAGAUUAAAGUGUAGUGUAGGGCUAACACCUAGCUUGAAAAAUAACAGCUUUGUUCUGACACUGAAGGUCAAGAGAUAACAGCCUUGCUUUACUCUUGUAAAUUAUGCUUCAUGCUCUUGUAAAUCAGGUUUCACCAACCAAGGAAACAAAAGCUCAAAGAAAAGAGCAUCAGAGGCAAGGUCAAGAAGAUCCACUGGUUGCAACUAAGCGGCAGAAAGUCUAAAAUAAUCACAUCUUCUGGCAACUGUUUCUAACUCAUCUGGCAACUGUUUCUAACUCGUCUGGGAACUGUUUCUCUGUUCUGUUCCCAGGUGAUGAUAAAACGAUGUGAUCGGCCAUAAAAACUCUGUACGCCGGCUGUUCGAGGCAGUACUCUUAUCAAGAGUGUCUGUCCCGAUCGGUCGGCCUUGCCUCUCAUUGCAAUAAACUUUGUUGUGACUGUCAUUGGUGCCCAUAGCAUUCUGUGUCAAGAGUCGUGUGGAUGCAACAGCAUUUCCCUUGGCGAACUUUUAAUGACCCCCUGGAAAGGAGGCGCACAUCCACGCCAUCCAGGGCGCACGAAACCGGUCACGUGCAGGAUCCGGAAGCAGAAACAGAGGAGCUGGGACUAGGCCAAGAGGCGGUGGCCGGGAAGGAGGUAGGCGGGAAUGCCCCCUACUUGGCAGGAGGCAAAAUCUCACAUUGUACAGUCUGCGAGUCCGAGGUGGGGAGGGCGAAGCCUGGACGUCGAGGCGGCAGGCAGCGCGCCCUCGAUGGCCGGGAUCCAGAUGCGUCUGGGGACGUUCGCGCCGGUUGUCGGGCGCCAUCUGGUGGCUCCUCUUAGACGGAGCCACCCUCCAGAGCUCCGGCGAAAUCGACAAGGGGUGGGAUUUGGCGGCGGUACCCGAGGAAGGGUUCCAGGAGGCCGGGGGCGCUGGCGGGAUCAUCCCGGGGUCGCCGGCGCAUCGCCGCGCAUCAGUUCGUUGGAGAUUGAAUGCGCCGUUCUACUAGGGAGUGGCUCGUAGGCCCUCCCGGGGAAGGGUGAACGUCGACCGGCACCUGCUGGUGCCUCUCUGCCUGCGGGAACCCAGUGUGGCGCCGCGGGGGAAGGGGAGAGGGUGCCCCGCGCCUAGAGGCGGUCGGCUCCGGAGGGGCAGGCCGGCCCGGGACGUGCGGGGAGGCCGGGGUAAGGUGCCCGGGGCCGGCCGCGGCUCCCCGUGGGGUCCGGUGGUCGGAGGCGCCUCCGCCGAAGUUCUCCCAAGUCCCAACCGAUAGCCGUGGAUGCACCGGCCGCGCCCCGGGGGCCGGGGAGGGCGGACCCCGGCGGCACUUGUGCCUGCGUGGUUUCUUGCGCUCGAUUUUUCGGAAUCCUGCUCCGGAGACGAGGAGCGUCACGGAACGUGCAGGGUGGCGGGGAUAAGGUGCUCGGGGUCUGGCCGCGGUUCCCCACGGGGCCCGGCGGUCGGAGAUGCCUCCACGGAAGUUUCUUCCAACCCGUCUUCUGUUCCGGACGGGCAGCUGCGCAUGCAGACAGACGGGAGGACGUAGCCGGCCCGCGGCGGCCCCCGCGCGUUCCGAGCGCCUCGCAGACACGACCGACGUUGAGUCGGCCAGGUGGCCCCAGGAGCUCCGGGGUUGCAGCGAUGGGAUCGUGUUGGGGGGGCCAGUAGUUGAACCCAGGAGGCUCCCGUGA